rnacentral:rRNA from 1 species
UUUAUGGAGAGUUUGAUCCUGGCUCAGGAUGAACGCUGGCGGCGUGCCUAAUACAUGCAAGUCGAGCGAACGGACGAGAAGCUUGCUUCUCUGAUGUUAGCGGCGGACGGGUGAGUAACACGUGGAUAACCUACCUAUAAGACUGGGAUAACUUCGGGAAACCGGAGCUAAUACCGGAUAAUAUUUUGAACCGCAUGGUUCAAAAGUGAAAGACGGUCUUGCUGUCACUUAUAGAUGGAUCCGCGCUGCAUUAGCUAGUUGGUAAGGUAACGGCUUACCAAGGCAACGAUGCAUAGCCGACCUGAGAGGGUGAUCGGCCACACUGGAACUGAGACACGGUCCAGACUCCUACGGGAGGCAGCAGUAGGGAAUCUUCCGCAAUGGGCGAAAGCCUGACGGAGCAACGCCGCGUGAGUGAUGAAGGUCUUCGGAUCGUAAAACUCUGUUAUUAGGGAAGAACAUAUGUGUAAGUAACUGUGCACAUCUUGACGGUACCUAAUCAGAAAGCCACGGCUAACUACGUGCCAGCAGCCGCGGUAAUACGUAGGUGGCAAGCGUUAUCCGGAAUUAUUGGGCGUAAAGCGCGCGUAGGCGGUUUUUUAAGUCUGAUGUGAAAGCCCACGGCUCAACCGUGGAGGGUCAUUGGAAACUGGAAAACUUGAGUGCAGAAGAGGAAAGUGGAAUUCCAUGUGUAGCGGUGAAAUGCGCAGAGAUAUGGAGGAACACCAGUGGCGAAGGCGACUUUCUGGUCUGUAACUGACGCUGAUGUGCGAAAGCGUGGGGAUCAAACAGGAUUAGAUACCCUGGUAGUCCACGCCGUAAACGAUGAGUGCUAAGUGUUAGGGGGUUUCC